ACACACUUGCUCGGUCUGGCUAACUUUCUCUGCCAAUUCCUUGUCCACCUGCAUGGCCUGACUCCUCAGAUCCUUGACAGCCUUCACGUAGAUGUCAUUCAGGGUCUUCCUGAGGUGAAUAGACGUCUGCCUGACAGCCUCAGCAUUGGCCAGGGCCUCCGAGGAGGGAUUUACUGACUCUGGAGGUACUCUAGUGGCUCCUGGUUUCAUCAAAAUCAGCGGAGAAUCAUUCCUCAGGCUCACGCAGAGGGAAUCAAUCUCGUAAGCAUCUAAUUUAUCUGUUAUAUCGAACUCCAGUCUCGCCUUCGCUGUCCUCAACUCCAGGAGCUGAUACUCCACCGAUUCUCUGGUCCUUGUCAGGGUGCUCCUCACCACGUUGCACAGGGCAACUUCCUGGAAGUUGAGGGCAACUCGCAAAUCAGGCUCCAGUCGUUGACAACGAAUGUCCAAGAAUUCUCCAGCUAUGGACUCCGGCAGUGUUAGAAUCGAGAGGGACUGCUUAACACGACGCAGUUCACCCUCCAGCAACUCUAUCUCAUCUGUUAUCUCGUGCAGUGCCUUCUCCAACUCGGUUUUCCACCGGUGUAUCACGCUCGAACGUUUACUCAGUCUGUCCCGAUUUUCCAACUGAAUUGUGUCAGUUGUCUUGUAAAUUCGAGAGUUAUUUUCCCUCGUUUUUUCAGCUACGAAUCUGUUUUAAAAAAUUGUGAGACGAAAUUCGUGUUAAUUUUAGAGCCCAAGACCUUGUGCUGCUAAUUAAAUUAUUAAUUAUGUCGCCAUUAUUUUUCUAAUCAUUCUCUUCACUCUUACGAUACAGUUAAUUGAAUGUUCAAACAAGUUUUGUUGAUUAUUCAUAACAGGACAAUUUCAGAAAUUGAAAAAUAAGUGUUUAUCUGUCGUUGAGGUACUCUUACUGUGCCUCGUCGAUGGUUCUCCGGUUCUUAUCAAAAAAAGUUUGAUUAUGUGCCCUCCACUCAGCCGGACUGUAUCGAGUAACGGAGUAACGAUCGACGACAGGUCGUACGCCUGUAAUUCCGGCCGUGGGAGUGAAAACGACACGACCAGUUGCCCAUGGGCCAAUUGGUCCCAUCGUUUCCUCACUUGUACAAGGAAGAUCGUCGCUGGCUUGAGGCAAGUACGGUGGUGGAGACUUGCCUUCCUCGUUCAUGCGGUUUUGAAGGACAUCGACCGUUGGAUCAACCUUUAACGUAUCCUCAUAAUAAAAAAAAAAUCCUAAUCUCUAAUCCAUCAAAAAUUCCAUU